GGUUAAGCGACUAAGCGUACACGGUGGAUGCCCUGGCAGUCAGAGGCGAUGAAGGACGUGCUAAUCUGCGAAAAGCGCCGGCGAGGUGAUAUGAACCCUUGACCCGGCGAUGUCCGAAUGGGGAAACCCAGUGUGUUCCGACACACUAUCGUUAACUGAAUACAUAGGUUAACGAGGCGAACCGGGGG
rnacentral:rRNA from 1 species